rnacentral:rRNA from 1 species
AGUGAACGCUGGCGGUAGGCCUAACACAUGCAAGUCGAACGGCAGCACAGUAAGAGCUUGCUCUUACGGGUGGCGAGUGGCGGACGGGAGAGGAAUACAUCGGAAUCUACUUUUUCGUGGGGGAUAACGUAGGGAAACUUACGCUAAUACCGCAUACGACCUACGGGUGAAAGCAGGGGAUCUUCGGACCUUGCGCGAAUGAAUGAGCCGAUGUCGGAUUAGCUAGUUGGCGGGGUAAAGGCCCACCAAGGCGACGAUCCGUAGCUGGUCUGAGAGGAUGAUCAGCCACACUGGAACUGAGACACGCUCCAGACUCCUACGGGAGGCAGCAGAGGGGAAUAUUGGACAAUGGGCGCAAGCCUGACCCAAUCAUACCACGUGGGUGAAGAAGGCGUUGCGGUUGUAAAGCCCUUUUGUGGGGAAAGAAAAGCAGCAGGUUGAUACGACGCUGUUCUGACGGUACCCAAAGAAUAAGCACCGGCUAACUUCGUG